GGUAACAUUUACUAGCUUGCUAGUAAGAUGACGAGUGGCGGACGGGUGAGUAAUGCUUGGGAACUUGCCUUUGCGAGGGGGAUAACAGUUGGAAACGACUGCUAAUACCGCAUAAUGUCUUCGGACCAAACGGGGCUUCGGCUCCGGCGCAAAGAGAGGCCCAAGUGAGAUUAGCUAGUUGGUAAGGUAACGGCUUACCAAGGCGACGAUCUCUAGCUGUUCUGAGAGGAAGAUCAGCCACACUGGGACUGAGACACGGCCCAGACUCCUACGGGAGGCAGCAGUGGGGAAUAUUGCACAAUGGGGGAAACCCUGAUGCAGCCAUGCCGCGUGUGUGAAGAAGGCCUUCGGGUUGUAAAGCACUUUCAGUUGUGAGGAAAAGUUAGUAGUUAAUACCUGCUAGCCGUGACGUUAACAACAGAAGAAGCACCGGCUAACUCCGUGCCAGCAGCCGCGGUAAUACGGAGGGUGCGAGCGUUAAUCGGAAUUACUGGGCGUAAAGCGCACGCAGGCGGUUUGUUAAGCUAGAUGUGAAAGCCCCGGGCUCAACCUGGGAUGGUCAUUUAGAACUGGCAGACUAGAGUCUUGGAGAGGGGAGUGGAAUUCCAGGUGUAGCGGUGAAAUGCGUAGAUAUCUGGAGGAACAUCAGUGGCGAAGGCGACUCCCUGGCCAAAGACUGACGCUCAUGUGCGAAAGUGUGGGUAGCGAACAGGAUUAGAUACCCUGGUAGUCCACACCGUAAACGCUGUCUACUAGCUGUGUGUGUCUUUAAGGCGUGCGUAGCGAAGCUAACGCGCUAAGUAGACCGCCUGGGGAGUACGGCCGCAAGGUUAAAACUCAAAUGAAUUUGACGGGGGCCCGCACAAGC
rnacentral:rRNA from 2 species